GACGAACGCUGGCGGCGUGCCUAACACAUGCAAGUCGAACGGAGUAAUUUCUUCGGAGAUUACUUAGUGGCGAACGGGUGAGUAACGCGUGAGAAACCUGCCUUUCAGUGGGGGACAGCAGUUGGAAACGACUGCUGAUACCGCAUAAUGUUAUUUGGGGGACUCCCUGAAUAACCAAAGCUUUAUGUGCUGAAAGAUGGUCUCGCGUCUGAGUAGCUAGAUGGCGGGGUAACGGACCACCAUGGCGACGAUCAGUAGCCGGUCUGAAAGGAUGAACGGCCACAUUGGGACUGAGAUACGGCCCAGACUCCUACGGGAGGCAACAGUGGGGAAUAUUGGGCAAUGGGGGAAACCCUGACCCAGCAACGCCGCGUGAAGGAAGAAGGCCUUCGGGUUGUAAACUUCUUUUACCAGGGACGAAGAACGUGACGGUACCUGGAGAAAAAGCAACGGCUAACUACGUGCCAGCCGCCGCCGUAAUAC
rnacentral:rRNA from 1 species